CACGUAGGCGGACUCUUAAGUCGGUGGUGAAAUCCUGGAGCUCAACUCCAGAACUGCCUUCGAUACUGAGAGUCUUGAGUCCGGGAGAGGUGAGUGGAACUGCGAGUGUAGAGGUGAAAUUCGUAGAUAUUCGCAAGAACACCAGUGGCGAAGGCGGCUCACUGGCCCGGUACUGACGCUGAGGUGCGAAAGCGUGGGGAGCAACA
rnacentral:rRNA from 1 species